UACGUAGGUGGCAAGCGUUGUCCGGAAUUAUUGGGCGUAAAGCGCGCGCAGGCGGUCCCUUAAGUCUGAUGUGAAAGCCCACGGCUCAACCGUGGAGGGUCAUUGGAAACUGGGGGACUUGAGUACAGAAGAGGAAAGCGGAAUUCCACGUGGUAGCGGUGAAAUGCGUAGAGAUGUGGAGGAACACCAGUGGCGAAGGCGGCUUUCUGGUCUGUAACUGACGCUGAGGCGCGAAAGCGUGGGGAGCAAACAGG
rnacentral:rRNA from 1 species